rnacentral:rRNA from 1 species
GACGAACGCUGGCGGCGUGCUUAACACAUGCAAGUCGAACGGAAAGGCCCUGCUUGCAGGGUACUCGAGUGGCGCACGGGUGAGUAACACGUGGGUGAUCUGCCCUGCACUUCGGGGUAAGCCUGGGGAACUGGGUCUAAUACCGGGUAGGAGCCCUUUUUCGUGUGGUUGUUGGAUGGUUUUUUCGGUGUAGGAUGAGCUCGCGGCCUAUCAGCUUGUUGGUGGGGUAAUGGCCUACCAAGGCGGCGACGGGUGGCCGGCCUGAGAGGGUGGACGGCCACAUUGGGGAUGGGGUAACGCCCAGACUCCUAAGGGAGGCAGCAGUGGGGAAUAUUGCACAAUGGGGGCAAGCCUGAUGCAGCGACGCCGCGUGGGGGAUGACGGCCUUCGGGGUGUAAACCCCUUUCGCCAGGGACGAAGCCGUUUGUGACGGUACCUAGAUAAGAAGCACCGGCUAACUACGUG